UCGGAGCCUUAAAUUCUCCGCCAUCAGC
rnacentral:sRNA from 1 species